rnacentral:rRNA from 1 species
CCUACGGGUGGCAGCAGUGAGGAAUAUUGGUCAAUGGGCGCGAGCCUGAACCAGCCAAGUAGCGUGAAGGAUGACUGCCCUACGGGUUGUAAACUUCUUUUAUACAGGAAUAACGUGCGUCACGUGUGCCUCUUUGCAUGUACUUUAUGAAUAAGGAACGGCUAACUCCGUGCCAGCAGCCGCGGUAAUACGGAGGGUCCGGGCGUUAUCCGGAUUUAUUGGGUUUAAAGGGAGCGUAGAGGGGUUGUUAAGUUAGGUGUGAAAGUUUGGGGCUCAACCCGAAACUUGCAAGGGAUACUGGCGGUCUUGAGUACAGGGGAGGGAGGCGGAAUUCGUGGUGUAGCGGUGAAAUGCUUAGAUAUCACGAAGAACCCCGAGUGCGAAGGCAGCUUGCUGAACUGCCACUGACGUUGAUGCUCGAAAGCGUGGGUAUCGAACAGGAUUAGAUACCCGAGUAGUC